UUUCUAGUGCUAUAAUACUAGAUAAGCCCUGCCCUACGUAAUUAAGUGGCCGCGGUAUAUUAACCGUGCUAAGGUAGCAUAAUCAAUUGUUUAUUAAUUGUAAAAUUGAAUGAAUGGGUAAACAAAAUAAAGACUGUCUCCUAUAGGUUUAUAAAAACUAUCCUCUUUAUGAAGAGAUAAAGAUACAAUUAAAGGACAAGAAGACCCUAUAGAGCUUUUAUAUAACCUUAUUUAAUAAGCUAAAGUUUGGUUGGGGCGACCUAAGAUAAAACAAAACAUCUUUACUUUUAUAAGAGCUACUACUCUACAAAAUGAUCCAUAAUUGACCAGUGAUUUAAGUUACCUUAGGGAUAACAGGCUGAUUAUUUUUAAGAGUUCUUAUCUAAAAAAUAGAUUGGCACCUCGAUGUUGGCUUAGGAAUACUAAUACUCGCAAGAGAGUAUAUAGCUGGUUUGUUCAACCAUUAAUAUCCU
rnacentral:rRNA from 1 species